UACGUAGGGGGCAAGCGUUGUCCGGAUUUAUUGGGCGUAAAGAGCGUGUAUGCGGCCAGGUAGGUCUGCUGUGAAAACUCGAGGCUUAACCUCGAGCUGUCGGCGGAAACCAUCAGGCUAGAGUCCGGAAGAGGAGAAUGGAAUUCCCGGUGUAGCGGUGAAAUGCGCAGAUAUCGGGAAGAACACCCGUGGCGAAGGCGGUUCUCUGGGACGGUACUGACGCUGAGACGCGAAAGCGUGGGGAGCGAACAGG
rnacentral:rRNA from 1 species